GACGAACCGUGCGAACGUUGUUCGGAAUCACUGGGCUUAAAGGGCGCGUAGGCGGGCUAUCAAGUCAGGGGUGAAAGCCCACGGCCCAACCGUGGAAGUGCCUUUGAUACUGGUAGUCUGGAGGGAGGUAGGGGCGUGCGGAACUUCCGGUGGAGCGGUGAAAUGCGUAGAUAUCGGAAGGAACACCGAUGGCGAAAGCAGCGCGCUGGACCUCUUCUGACGCUGAGGCGCGAAAGCCAGGGGAGCAAACGGG
rnacentral:rRNA from 1 species